rnacentral:rRNA from 1 species
UGGGGAAUUUUGGACAAUGGGCGAAAGCCUGAUCCAGCAAUGCCGCGUGUGUGAAGAAGGCCUUCGGGUUGUAAAGCACUUUUGUCCGGAAAGAAAUCCUUGGCUCUAAUACAGUCGGGGGAUGACGGUACCGGAAGAAUAAGCACCGGCUAACUACGUGCCAGCAGCCGCGGUAAUACGUAGGGUGCAAGCGUUAAUCGGAAUUACUGGGCGUAAAGCGUGCGCAGGCGGUUUGCUAAGACCGAUGUGAAAUCCCCGGGCUCAACCUGGGAACUGCAUUGGUGACUGGCAGGCUAGAGUAUGGCAGAGGGGGGUAGAAUUCCACGUGUAGCAGUGAAAUGCGUAGAGAUGUGGAGGAAUACCGAUGGCGAAGGCAGCCCCCUGGGCCAAUACUGACGCUCAUGCACGAAAGCGUGGGGAGCAAACAGGAUUAGAUACCCUGGUAGUCCACGCCCUAAACGAUGUCAACUAGUUGUUGGGGGAUUCAUUUCCUUAGUAACGUAGCUAACGCGUGAAGUUGGCCGCCUGGGGAGUACGGUCGCAAGAUUGAAAACUCAAAUGAAUUGACGGGGUCAUAGCUGUUUCCU